UCAGACGUGUUCUCUUACGAACUGCCAUAUGAAGUAAUGCAGGAUUUAAAAGAAAGCCCAGGGGUUUCUACAGCGUAUUCGGGACACAAUUUGACAGAACACUAAUGCAGACCCCGAUGAUCAGGCAACUGAGUCAAUUAUUAAGGGAAUUUUUACAAGCAGAGCAGCCCCUGAUAUUAAGAGAAAGUUACAAAAAAAGGAGGAUUUAAUGGGCAUGACC